rnacentral:sRNA from 1 species
UUAGACAAGGUUGGUUAAAUAAAAUGAA